rnacentral:lncRNA from 10 species
CCAGGCCCUGCCCUACCCCAGGAGUGCAUAGUCAGAGGCCAUGCACAUUCAAAUCCUGACCCCUGGACACUGCUGCCCCAUCUGGGCUCCUGCCACCCCCAAUCCCUGCAAGACCCUAGGGAGAGAGGCUCACCCUCCCUCUCUAGCCUCAGAGCCAUUCCCCACUUCCUCCCUCUUCCUUCCUUAGUGCCUGAGUUAGGCGCAUGCCUGUCACCACCCACACUGACCUCCAGGCCCCAUGAGGGGCCACUAACAUAAUUUAUGUUCAUUUUCUCUUCAUCUCUCUUCCCAUGGAUGUCCUUGAAUACACGUGCAUCCUCAAAACUGUCUAGUAGCCAAAACCGGGGAUAAUGGAUGAGCACGAGUUCUAACCCAGCAGUCACAAAGGCCUCCAGAAGGGCCUCGCUCCCAGGAGCCAUAGGAUUUGGGGCUCAUGGCCAUCAUAUCUAGAUUCCAGGAGAGGAAGCUGCCCUGAUACCCAGGGAUGCUGCAGCAGGUGCAGGCGCUGUUGGGAUAUUGCUCACCAAGUCCCAGCCACGGGCUCAGCCUGCCCCAUGCACUGGGCUCUAUGCUGGGAUGGGGCCCUUGAGGAGCCACAGUCUGGUGGACACAUAGGCCUGUAACCAAAUCCUGGCCACAGAGGGUGAUGAUGCUGCAGGAACCCAGGGUGGCUCAGAGUGGAGCAGACAGACCAUCCGCCAGCAGACGAAAAGGGGCUGGAAUCUCCUUGGUGAGCUAUGCUCUUGCAAUGCCCAAAAACGAAAUUUAGAAAACAAUUUUAUUUACAAACAGCAUCAGAUAAUAAAAUAUUUAGGAAUAAAUGUCAUAAGAAAAGUGAAAAACUUAAACCCUGACAACUACAAAACACUGUUGAAAUAAAUUCAAGAAGAUCUAAAUAAAUGAAAAGAUACCCUGUGUUAAUCAAUUAGAAGACUUAAUAUUAUGAAGAUGAAAAUACUCCCCAAAUUGAUCUACAAACUUAAUGUAAUCCCUAUCAAAAUUCAUCCAGCUUCUCCCAAAAAAAUGACAAGCUGAUCACAAAAUUCAUACAGAAAUCUAAGGAACCCAGAGUAGACAAAACAAUAUUGAAGAAAAUCAAAGUUGGAGGAUUUCCAAUUUUAAAAUUUACUACUGCUAACCUACAUUGAUUAAGACUGUGGCACUGACAUAAGGAUACACAUUCCAAUCAAUGGAACAGAAUUGAGAAUCCAGGAAUCAACUCUUGUAUUUAUGGUCAAAUUGAUUUUCAGCAAAGGUGCCAAGACAGUUCAAUGAAGGGAAGACUAGUCUUUUCAAGAAAUGGUAUGGGGCCACUGGAUAGCCACAUGCAAAAGAAUGAAUUUGGUUCCCUGCCUCACACCAUAUAUAAAACUCAAAAUGAAUCACAGAUUUAAAUGUAAGAGCUAAAACUAUAAAACUCUUACAAGAAAGCAUAAAUGUAAAUCUUCAUGAUAUUAGAUUAGGCAAUGGUUUCUUAACUAUGACAUUAAAAGCACAAACAACCAAAAAAUUAGAUGAAUUGGACUUCAAAAUUAAAACUUUUGUGCUUCAAAGGAAGUGAAAUGACAACCCACUGUAUGCGAGAAAAUAUUUGCAAAUCGUAUAUCUGAUAAGGGACAGAUAUGUAAGAUCUGGGACUUAUCAGAUAAGGGACAGAUCUGAUAAGGGACUAGAAUAGAUAAAGAACUCUUCCAACUCAAUAAUGAAAAGACAAAUGGUCCAAUUUAAAAAUGGGCAAAGUAUCUGAAAAGACAUUUCUCCAAAGAAGAUAUACAAAUGGCCAGUAAGCACAUAAAAAGAUGUUAGACUUAAUUAGUCAUCAGGGAAAUGCAAAUCAAAACCACAAUGAGGUACAAAUUCACAUCCACUAGAAUAGCUAUAAUAAAAAAGACAGACAAGCCAGGCACUAUGGUGCAUGCCUGUAAUCCAAGCUACUUGGGAGGCCAAGGCGAGCGGAUCACUUGAGCCCAGGAGUUCAAGUCCAGCCUGGGCAACAUAGUGAGACCCCAUCUCUAAUAAUAAAAAAUAAAAGACAAUAACAAGUGUUGAUGAAGAUGUGGAGAAAUUAGAACCCUCACAUGCCACUGGUGGAAAUAUAAAAUGGCGUAGCCACUUUGAAAAACAGUCUGGCAGCUCCUCAGAAUGUUAAACACAGAGUUCUCACAGGAGCCAGCACUUCCGUUUCUAGGUCCAUACCCAAAAGAAAUGAAAACACAUGUCCCCACCGAAACUGGUAUACAGAUGUUUAUAGCAGCAUCAUCCAUAAAAGCCCCAAAGUAGAAACAACCCAAAUGUCCAUCAGCUGAUGAAUGGACAAAUAAAAUAAAUGUCUAGCCAUACCACGGAAUAUCAUUCGGCAAUAAAACGGAAUGAAGUACUGAUGCGCACUCUGGCAUGACGGGCCCGGAAAACAUUCUGCUCAGUGAAAGGAGGCAGCCACAAAAGCCCGCGUAUGGUCUCAUUCCAUUUUUAAGGAACGCCCAGAGUAAAUCGCCCUGCAGAGGCAGUAUGAAGAUUCGUGGUUGUCCAAGGCUGAGAUGGGGGUGCAGUGGAGGCAGGGGGAGGUGGUGGCUAAAGAGUAUGGGGUUUGCUUGUUUAAGUGGUGGAAAUAGGUUCAUAUUGAUUGUGGUGAUGACUGCACACUCCACGGAUAUACUAAAAGCCAUUGAAGUAUGUACUUUAAAUGGAUGAUUACAUGGUAAGUGGAUUAUAUCUGAAUAAAGAUGUUUAUUUAAAAAUCCUCUUUGGAGAGGCAUUUGCAGCUCUGCCCUCUUUUCCAGGGCGCAAAGCUUCAAGGAGAGGAAGGAUCACCAGCCCUGGGGCCAGAGCCCAGCAGUACCACAGACCUGCUGGGUUACCUUAGCCAGGUCUCCGCCCCUCUCUGACCUCAGUCUCAUCUCUGAUCAUUUCUGAGGGCCUUUUGGCUCUUUGAGCUGGCAGCCCCAGUUCUGGAAAUCUAGACUGAGGAGCCGUCCUCAUGAAGGACAAAGCUCUAUGCUCAAAAAACAUUCAGCGCAGCUUUUUCUGUAAUGGUGAAAAACCAGAAGCCACCUGAGUUUCCGAUAACAAGAGAAGAGUUACAUAAAUGAGGAGGUGCAGCUGUGCCAUUCUAAGCAGGGCCUGCAGACACUGGUGAGGCGGGAAGUGCUGCUGCUGGGAGGUUUGCUGAAGGCAGGACACGAAACCCAGUGGCCGAGACAGCCUGGAGCUGGCAGGACGGUGGCAGUGGUGGGACUGUGAGCAUGUCCUCUUCUACUCAGAAGCCCAUCACUGUAGCCUUCAUGGUGUCUGUGUGCCUGCACUGCAGACUGGAAGUAGAUCCCUAAUGUGUGAUCCAUGUGUACAGGCUGCCUGUAGGCUGCAGCAGCCCGAGGGUCAGGCAGACUUGAAGCAAGGAAGCCAUUCCUCAGCCGGCCUCUGAGAUGGCCCGAUGGGCAGAGCUACCCUGGGGCAGCUGCCAUGGACCCCAGUGAGCUCCAGCGGGGAGUUCUGCCAGUACACCCCAUAGAGCGUCCUCACCCAGCUGGAAUGGGGCUGACAUGGAUUAGAACGCCCCGGGAGGAACGGGGCUCCCUCUGGAGGGAGUCACUGCCCCAUCCCAAAGUGCAAACGUCUCUUAGACAAAGA